GACGAACGCUGGCGGCGUGCUUAACACAUGCAAGUCGAGCGGAGAGGAGCUUCGGGGUCCUCGAGCGGCGAACGGGCGAGUAACACGUGAGUAACCAGCCCCAGUCUUUGGGAUAACCGUCGGAAACGGGGGCUAAUAACGGAUAAGACAAAGACUAGCAAGGGGUCUGUGUGGAAAGUUUUAAGGUUUGGGAUGGGCACGCGGACUAGCAGCUUGUUGGUGUGGUGAUGUAGUACAGAGGAGACGACGGCUAGCCGGCCUGAGAGGGCGACCGGCCACACAGGGAUUGAGACACGAGCCAGACGGCAACGUGAGGCAGCGGGGGAGAAUAGAGCGCGAUGGGCCGAAGCCGGAUGCAGCGACGUCGCGUGAGAAAGGACGGCCUUCGGGUUGUAAACCUCUUGCAGCAGGGACGAAGCGUAAGUGACGGUACCUUCAGAAGAAGCGCCGGCCAACUACGUG
rnacentral:rRNA from 1 species